rnacentral:rRNA from 1 species
UUUUGUACAAUAAGAGAUGAGGUGUAAAGGUGUCUUGCGUUCAACAGUCGUACAGCUUAAUUAUUAUUGAGUGAGUGCUCAGAGAAGGUGAAAAGCCUGUGUGGUUGUGUCGAAUCUGUUGAAUCGAGUCACUGACGAGUCUAGUUGUUUGAGAGUGCAACUUAAAGUUGGUGGUAAAUUUCAUCAAAGGCUAAAUAUAUGAAGGGACUAAUAGCGAACAAGUACCAUGAGGGAAAGUUGAAAAGAACUCUGAUGAGAGAGUUCAACAGUACGUGAAACCAUAUUGAGUAAAACAGAUAACUGUGUUGUUAUGUGGUGUGUCUAUCAACAGCAAAUUUGCCAUUGCGUGUUCUAUGGGUGUGACCUGUUUAUUCAGUCGAUCGCCUUUAGUCGUGUACAGUCAAAAAUGCUGUGUACUAGUGCACACUCAAUCAUUGAGAAACUAUGCUGCUGCGACAUUGGUAUGCAUCAGUCCGUACAUAGUGCGAGGUUGCAUGCUGGGUUAGAGUUAGUAGCGUCGUUUAGCUGUGUGAGUUGCAUUUACCGAAUGUGCUGGCUUUGUCUGCAAGAAAGUUUAUUCUUUUUUGCGGUGAAUCCAGUGCCAUAGGUAAGCGACUCGACAUCAAUGGUUAACAUUAGUUAUUUGACCCGUCUUGAAACACGGAAAGGAGUUCAAAUGGCACGCGAGUCAUUGGGUUUAAACACCCGAAGGCGAAGUGAAAUGCAAACGUAUCGUAACUCGUCGUUUUUCGGCGAUUAAUCGAUAAGCUACUCAUGCUUUCUGGCAUUUGUAGACUACAAGCGUGAUGUUUGAGACCCGAAAGAUGGUGACCUAUGCCUAGUCAAGAUGAAGCCAGAGGAAACUCUGGUGGAUGUCUGAAGUUAUUCUGACGUGCAAAUCGAUAAUCUGAUCUGGGUAUAGGGGCGAAAGACUAAUCGAACCAUCUAGUAGCUGGUUCCUUCCGAAGUUUCCCUCAGGAUAGCAAGCGUACAUUUUGAUAGUUUCAUCCCGUAAAGCGAAUGAUUAGAGGUAUUGGGGCAUAUAUAGCCUCAACCUAUUCUCAAACUUUUAAUGGGUGUGAGUGUUUUUUCUUAAUUGAAAAACGCUACCAAAUAAGUAUGCUUAGUGGGCCAUUUUUGGUAAGCAGAACUGGCGCUGUGGGUUGAACCAAAUGUUGAGUUAAAGUGCCUAAAGCUGGAAUGCGCAUGAGAUCUAUAAAGGGUGUUAGUUGCUGAAGACAGCAGG